CUUUUUCAUUCUGAACCACUGUGAUCCCUGACUUCUUUGGUACCACUUGAGUAGGACUCACCCAAGGGCUAUCAGAUAUAGGGUAAAUGAUUCUUGCUUGAAGUAGCUUCAGCACUUCAGCUCGCACCACCUCUUGUAGAUGAGGAUUCAACCUUCUUUGAAAUUGACAGAUUGGCUUUGCUUCCUCCUCCAUAUAUAUAUGAUGAGUACAAACUAAAGGACUAAUGCC
rnacentral:lncRNA from 1 species